UAGUGUUACAGUGCUUUGAGAAUUUGUCUAGCAGGCCUUUGGGUCUUUACUGGAAAACUCCUAA
rfam:Pan troglodytes isolate Yerkes chimp pedigree #C0471 (Clint) chromosome 7, whole genome shotgun sequence.